GCACCCGUGGUGAAACUGGCAUACACGCUAGGUUCAGGUCCUAGUGGCCGCAAGGCUGUGGAGGUUCAAAUCCUCUCGGGUGCACCA
rnacentral:tRNA from 1 species